AUAAAAAAUAAUAAUAUUUUUACAACAUUAAUUAUCAUUUGUAUAUAACGUUUUCAUAUCAUUAAAGGUUUGGAAAAUUUAAUAAAAUUUAUUUUAUCAUUACUAAAUGUGCUUGAAGGAACAAAUCAUAACAUUGACGUAUUUGAAAAAUAAAUUAAUUUAUUCUAAUUUUAAGAAGGAGGUUUUUCAACUACAUGAAGAAAAAUAAUGUUUAAUUUACGUAAUGAGAGUUCAAACUUUUAAAGAUAUAAAUUGAGAAAACGAUUUCCUAAAUUCAUGAGAAGAAAUAUGGUUAGAAUUAUCAAGUUUGUUUAUGUUAUAAUUAUCUCUUUUUUUAUAUUUUUGGUGCCACCCAACCAUGGAAAAGUUGCAAGAUGUAAAAGAGACGCUGAUUGUCCAAACCACGCAUGCUACCCACCAAGGAUAGUUAAGUGUGACAAUAAACAAUGUAGAUGUAUAAAUGUGCUCUCUUUUAUUAAUUAUGUUCCCAUAUGAUUAUGCAUGCAUUUAGUGCGGUAUCGAAGACAUUAUACAAAUGUCCACCUAUAAUACUUUAUCAACCACGAUUUAUAUUUCUUUUA